AGAAUGGGAGGCAUCCCCCCUCCCCCUCUUCUUAACCCAACCGGUCGAGGCAGAUGGCCCCUCCCACCCUGAGUCCGGUUUUGCUCGAGGUUUCUGCCUCUUAAAGGAAGUUUUUCCUCUCCACAGUCUCCUAGUGCUGCUCAUGGUGGAUCUGUUGGGUCUCUCUCUGUAAAUACCUAUUUUAAAGAGUCUAGACCUGCUCUAUAUGAAAAGCGCCUUGAGAUGACUGUUGUUGUGAUAUGGCGCUAUAUAAAUAAAAUUGAAUUGAAUUUAAUUGAAUUGAACUGUUGGUUUGAUGUGUUUCACUGCAUUAACUGACAAUCUUAUAUUGUAAGGUGUUAUUAUUAUUAUUAUUAUUAUUAUUAUUAUUAUUAUUGUAGAGAAAAGAUCAUUGAUUAGGACAGAUCUGACUGGAUUAUAAAUGAUUUUAUCUCCAUCUUUUAUUCUUUAUUCAGCAUGUAUGACUGCAGUUUGUCAGAGAUCAGCUGUUCUUCUCUGGUCUCAGCUCUGAAGUCCAACCCCUCCCAUCUGAGAGAUCUGAACCUGAGAGACAACUACCUGCAGGAACCAGACGUGAAGGAGCUGUAUGAUCUUGUGCAGAGUCCAUACUAUAGACUGGAUGAUCUGGGCUGGAAGUGAGGAUGAGCUGUGUCCUGAUGAUCCAGAUGUUGAAGCAGCAGCAGCAGCAGCUUGUGUGUAGAGAGGCUCUGACUGGACCAUGUUCUGUUAUUCUGUUAAAGAUUCGUUACAAGGAGACUUCAUUCGUUUUUAUCAUCUACUCACUUUUAUCAUCUGAUCAUUUUCUUGAUGACAUGUACAUUGUUUUUAAGAAACGUCUUCAUUCAUCAUUUAAUCCUUUUCUUUCAGUUUGAAUCAUUUGAUGCUUAUUUCAGGUGCUUCACUGAACAUUUAAUCAUCUUCCUUUUGUUACUUAUGAUAGAAUAUAGUUUUGUUUUGCCUCAUCUUUUAUUAUAGACCAGUGUUAAUGAUAGAGUCAGUAGAUUUGUAGUGCAGAAUGUUCAUCUUUUAUUUUUAUGUGGAGGUUGGGAGCCAGUGUUUAACAUUUGAGCCAUAGAAAUAGUCAAUGAUGGACACACAGUACUGUUAGCUUUGGAUCAGAUUUGGUUUAUUAAUUCUAGCCUGCUUUAUUCGUGUGUCAACAUAUAUUUGUCAAUAAAAAAUCAUAAAA